UCCUGGUCGAGCUCUGCUUCAGGCCAGUCCUUUCUGAGAUUGGAGAAGUGAGAAGAGGAGCAGAGAGACCAGCUGGGAGCUGCUGUAGUAACCCAGGUGAGGGAGAUGGUGGUCUGGACCAGUGCUUCGCAUGGAGGUGGACAGAAGUGAUAUAACUGAUUUAAGUCAACCAGCUGCUUGAUCCAAAUAAUGCCAAAUGAGUUUAUUGCCAUCUCUUCAUAUUUUACAACCAGAUCACUUCUGCAUAAAACCACAUGGAA
rnacentral:lncRNA from 1 species